GGCAAGAUGGCCGAGUUGGUCUAAGGCGCUAGCUUCAGGUGCUAGUCUAGUAAUAGGCGUGGGUUCGAAUCCCACUCUUGUCA
rnacentral:tRNA from 1 species